ensembl:lncRNA
UGGUGUUAAUAGUAAGCUGCCACACAUUCUAUUUAUGGUGGAAACAAUUAGAAACAAAUGCAAGUAAUCAUUUAUUAGCAUUACUGACCAGGUUUAUUUUUGAAUCAGAGCCCAUGGCUAUAUGACUGCUACCAAAACAUUUCAACUCAUGCCUUUGAAAUGACUCUAAAGAUUAUAGGAGAAAAGAAUGUUUGUUUCCUUACAGUGUACACCUAUAAACUAAAUUCAACACAUUGAAAGAAACUGUCCAAAAUGAGUCCCAAAACAACCCAACCUGCAAACUUAAUAGUGAUAAAAAUACUUACAUUAGCAUAAACAGAACUAAAACUCAAAGAUCUUCUGUACUUCAUGACAGAAGUGGUUUUCCCAUUAGAGAUACAUGCAUUUUUGCAAUGAAUAAUGGACAAGAAUACUGUCUCUUGAAAUUUUAGCUUUAGGGCCUAGAGUUUGUAUUUACAAUACUGACUCAGGAUUUUAAAACUUAGUUUUAUAUUAUUCAUGUACUGUGGCUUACCAAAACACUGUAUGUGUAUGUGAUAAUCUCAGUAUACCUACUAGGAUUUCCUAGUGUGAUUAAAAAAACAAAUAAAUAAUGGAGCAUAUUCUAUCACUCAAUGCAUAUUCCCUUUAUUAUUUAAGGUUUUUGAGAACUCUAAAGAAAUAUCCAAAAUAUCACAACAUGUAGAAUUAGGUAGCUUGCUAAGAUAAAUAAAGUCAGCUAACAUUUGAGUGAAAUGAGAAACAGAAAUACAGUUAACAUUCUACAUCAAACAAAUUCUUAAAGAAGUAUAAAAUGCUCAUUUAAGAAAUACUCUAUCUACCUUUACUUUGAAUACAAAAGAUAAGGAGUUCUUAUUUACAGUCAACUUGCUUAUUCACUGAAGACCAUAGAAAAAUAAUCAAGCAUUGAGUUUUUUCUUUCUUUCUUUAUCCCAGCCAUAAAGAUACAGUGCUCCAUUCCCAGUAACAUUGAUUGGAUCUACACAGCUGUAUUCAUUUGCAACCUCAUAAGCAUGUAAUAAGCAAUUCCUUCACAUCCAGAUAACUGGACUACCUGUUUAUGUAAUCUCUUUGCCUUUACCUAGUCACUAGAAAUCACUUUUCCCACCCUGUGGAUUUAUGUAACACUGUGAACUAUUCUCCGGGGUUCUUCCCUUCUUUCUUUUAAUAUCAGAAUACCCUGCAGGAAUAGAGGUGCAGAGCCCAUA